rnacentral:misc_RNA from 1 species
AAGUCGUAACAAGGUAUCCGUAGGUGAACCUGCGGAUGGAUCAUUACCAAUUUAUAUAUAUGUUAGUUUGCCUGUGGCUUCGGUCACUGGUAUUAACUACUAUGUAAACGUUGAACUAGAUCAAUUGGUGUGGAUUGCUUGGGAAUGGACGAAGCGAUGAGCCUCUUCCGGACAGGCAAGCCCCACACUGAUAACCUUUUUCAUAUCAUUUACUCGUAUAUACUACCACAACAACAAAAACAAAAGCUAUAAUAGGACUUAUUAAUGGCUGAGUGGGUAACAUCCUCGGCUUAAACAUAUAACUAUUACAACUUUCAGCAAUGGAUCUCUAGGCUCUC